rnacentral:misc_RNA from 1 species
GAAAUGCGAUACGUAAUGUGAAUUGCAGAAUUCCGUGAAUCAUCGAAUCUUUGAACGCACAUUGCACCCGGUGGUAUUCCGCCGGGUAUGCCUGUCUGAGCGUCAUUUCUACCCUCAAGCCCUUAAGCUUGGUGUUGGCGGAUUACCUCCCUCGAAGGUAACCGCUGAAAUUGAAUGGCGGUAGCACACUUGUCUCCUGUAUAGUACAAUUCUUACAGAGGGUCACAGUGGACGAACCAGCCCCAAAUCCAAAAAAGAAAUUUAGCAAAAGUUGACCUCAGAUCAGGUAGGAAUACCCGCUGAACUUAA